rnacentral:lncRNA from 1 species
AUGGCGGCUUUCAGCAAGUUUGUGAAGCAGAACAUCACAUUUUUAUGCCAGCCAAACAGCCACCAGGGAUCCAAUGAAAGAGACAUCAAGUUCCUUGCAGAUUCAAGAAGACAGAGCUUCUUGGGGACAUUACUGGAUUGUGAACCUGUAGGGUCACCGGAUACAGGCCCUCGCGAGUCUGUGUUCCAGUUUGAGACUGAAGACCUGGAGCUUUUACCAAUCAGAGAUCUGGCUUUAUUUGGCCACAGUGACACAACAGAACAGUUUCAGUUUACUGCAGGACACAUCUGCUUCAGCUAAAACACAAACACUCUGUCAUUGAGGACUACCCUUACAGAGUAGCUUUCUGCUGAGAAAAGCAGAGCCAAGAACAAUUAGCAAAAACCAAUCAGGACUUUCUUUACUCUACUGUUCUCCAUCUGCUGUGGGAAUGGAGGUUCCUAAUUAAGUUUUCACCUUCAGUUUACAGUGUACCUUCAGUGCAGUAAACUGAUUUGUUGUCUAGUGGCUACAGCAAUCUGGUGCGCUGCUUCUCAUGAGGAGAUGUAAUAUAUUGUUGCAUAUCGUUUACAAUGCUUGUUCUCUGUUAAAUAACUGAUUAUUUAUAUAAUUCCAGGAUGUUACUUGUCACAUUUUAAGAACAAUUCACUUCCACAAACCCUGAUUUCCUUUCAUUCAGGUUUUGUGGCACCUUAUGACAAAGAGCACUGUGACGUACAUUACAUGGCCAAAAGAGUCUGAACACUUUAACACCACACUUGUAUGUGCUUGAUGAACAUUUAAUUUUAAGUUUGUCCACUCUAUACUGCUGUAACAACUUCUGUUCUUCUUGGAAGGCUUUUAAACAUGGAUGGUCAUGUGAUGUAUGUGGCACUCAAAUCAACUAUUAUGUAAACGAUGUGCCUCAGAUAUAUAUCAGGCACUGCUUGUGAAGUCUAAUAACAUGAUUUACUUGGU